UGCGUAGGUGGCCGGUUAAGUCUGACGUGAAAUCUCCGAGCCUAACUCGGAAACUGCGUCGGAAACUAUCCGGCUCGAGGGUUGGAGGGGGACUGGAAUACUUGGUGUAGCAGUGAAAUGCGUAGAUAUCAAGUGGAACACCAGUGGCGAAGGCGAGUCCCUGGCAACUCCUGACACUGAGGCACGAAAGCUAGGGGGAGAAC
rnacentral:rRNA from 1 species